AUUAUAUGAUGACAACGCUAAUCCCAGCUCACUCUGACAUUUAUAAUAAUGAAGAGAACAAUAGCAUAUAAUUUAAUUCUGAUUAAUG
rnacentral:snoRNA from 1 species